UGACACCCCCUCCCAACACACAGGGGGCUCCCCCCGCAGCAGCCACAGCAGCCGCUUCUGAAUCUCCAGGGCACCAACUCAGCCUCCCUCCUCAACGGCUCCAUGCUGCAGAGAGCUUUGCUUUUACAGCAGUUGCAAGGACUGGACCAGUUUGCAAUGCCACCAGCCACGUAUGACACUGCCGCUCUCACCAUGCCCACAGCAACACUGGGUAACCUCCGAGGCUACGGCAUGGCAUCCCCAGGCCUCGCAGCCCCCAGCCUGACAGCCCCCAGCCUCACACCCCCACAACUGGCCACUCCAAAUUUGCAACAGUUCUUUCCCCAGGCCACUCGCCAGUCCUUGCUGGGACCUCCUCCUGUUGGGGUCCCCAUGAACCCUUCCCAGUUCAACCUUUCAGGACGGAACCCCCAGAAACAGGCCCGGACCUCCUCCUCUACCACCCCCAAUCGAAAGGAUUCUUCUUCUCAGA
rnacentral:sRNA from 1 species